AUGGACCCAGCAGACUCCGUAUGGUAUCGGCGACCCGCAGUUUCUGCCUUCCUCAAGGAGAGCGUGAGGCAGGAGGCUAAGCAUGCCCAGGAGCUCCAGUCACCCUUCUAUGGGUCUUGUUUGGCUUUCGGAGGGCCCCGCUGCCUCCAAACCGCCAUGGCUACGGCCGAGCCGGCACCUAUGCCUCGGAGGAUCAGAUUGAGCACGUGCUCAUUCUCUCCGGUCGCUACACCUCCGCCUCCACCCCCGGAUUUCCAGUCCAACAAGAGGGUUAAGCAGCGAAGAAAGAAGGAUUAUGUGACGCCGGACGCUAGACUCACUCCGCUGCAGUCCUUCGCUCUGUUUUUGGGUCUGCAGCGUUCUGAGCUUCAUAAACUCUCAGAUUCCUCAUUGCAGCCCGGUCCGCUGGAGGAUUUGCAGCCCAGUUUGCCACCUCCCACUUCCCGGAGGAGGCGGCGCUCACACCGUCACCACUCUUUCUCUGUGGAACAACUCCCAGUGGUGAGUUAUAAAGACUGCUUUCGUUCCUCUGAGCUGGAAAAAGACAAUCAUAUGAACACUGCUAAAACUGAGACUGUUAAGACUAUUAGACAUGGUGGUGGUAGGAAGCUAAAAAACAUUUUGGAGGAUUCUGUGUUUUCUGACCCUGCUCCUUCGCCCAGUUGUGUUCCUGCUCCCAGGGCGGCUCGGGCCCAGCAUUCCCCUGCACCUGUUUCAGUGCUUCAGGUGAGGGAGGCUGAGGUCCAGCUGGUCCCUGCUCCGGUGCCUGUCGCGGCGCCCGUACCUUCUCCUCGGGUGGGAGAGGCCGGUAUCCGGCAGGUACCUGCACCUGUUUCUGACCUCGCUGGAGGCUCAGGUGAGCCCGUCCAGUGGUUUUCUUCAGGUUCUGGAGGCUCAGGGGAACUAGCUCAGCUUACUGCUAAUCCACCACCUAACCCACCAUUACUACCAUCGUUACAACAGUCAAUAGAACUUAAACUUCUAUCCAUAGCUCGAACAUUAGCUCACAUCUCAGCUCAGUCGCCUGCUCAGUUACCACCUGCCUCGCCCGGAGGGUCCGAGGGGCCCGUCCAGCCUUCGUCUGCCUCCACUGGAGGGUCCGAGGGGCCCGUCCAGCCUUCUGUUCCCGCUGGGGGUUCUGGAGAACCGCGCCAGCCUUUGUUCGUCUCCGCUGGAGGGUCCGAGGGGCCCGUCCAGCCUUCUGUUCCCGCUGGGGGUUCUGGAGAACCAAACCAGCCUUUGUUCGUCUCCGCUGGAGGGUCCAAGGGGCCCGUCCAGCCUUCUGUUUCCGCUGGGUGGUCUGGAGAACCGCACCAGCCUUUGUUUGUCUCCGCUGGAGGGUCCGAGGGGCCCGUCCAGCCUUCUGUCUCCGCUGGAAGGUCCGAGGAACCGCUUCAGCCGUUUGUUCCCGCUGGAGGGUCCGAGGGGCCCGUCCAGCCUUCUGCCUCCGCUGGAGGGUCCGAGGGGCCCGUCCAGCCUUCUGUUCCCGCUGGAGGGUCCGAGGGCCCGUCCAGUCUUCUGCCUCCGCUGGAGGGUCCGAAGGGCCCGUCCAGCCUUCAUCGCCACCACCUGUGGCUCCCACGCCGUCGCCUGCAGUGCCGUCACCUGCGGCUCCCACGCCGUCACCUGCAGUGCCAUCACCUGCGGCUCCCACGCCGUCACCUGGUCCGGCUACGGCUUCGUCCUCGCCUGGUCCAGCUACGGCUUCAGCUCCGCCGUCGUCUGGUCCAGCUUCAGCGUCGCCUGCAGCGUCACCCUCGCCCGGUCCGGCCUCCGAGUCUUCGCCUUCGCCCGGUCUGGCCUCAGCUACAGCUUCGCUUGGUCCUGCCUCGGCCACGCCGACGUCCGGACCACAUCCUGCACCUCUACAGCGCCGGCCUCCUUCCAGGCCUCUGA
ensembl:lncRNA